UACAGAGGGUGCGAGCGUUAAUCGGAAUUACUGGGCGUAAAGCGCGUGUAGGCAGCUUGGCAAGUCGGGUGUGAAAGCCCUGGGCUUAACCUAGGAAGUGCACUCGAAACUGCUUGGCUUGAGUUCUGGAGAGGAAGGCGGAAUUCUCGGUGUAGAGGUGAAAUUCGUAGAUAUCGAGAGGAACACCGGUGGCGAAGGCGGCCUUCUGGACAGCAACUGACGCUGAGACGCGAAAGCGUGGGGAGCAAACAGG
rnacentral:rRNA from 1 species